rnacentral:rRNA from 1 species
GACGAACGCUGGCGGCGUGCUUAACACAUGCAAGUCGAACGGAAAGGCCCUGCUUUUGUGGGGUGCUCGAUUGGCGAACGGGUGAGUAACACGUGAGUAACCUGCCCUUGACUUUGGGAUAACUUCAGGAAACUGGGGCUAAUACCGGAUAGGAGCUCCUGCUGCACGGUGGGGGUUGGAAAGUUUCGGCGGUUGGGGAUGGACUCGCGGCUUAUCAGCUUGUUGGUGGGGUAGUGGCUGACCCAGGCUUUGACGGGUAGCCGGCCUGAGAGGGUGACCGGCCACCUUGGGACUGAGGUACGGCCCAGACUCCUACGUGAGGCAGCAGUGGGGAAUAUUGCACAAUGGGCGGAAGCCUGAUGCAGCAACGCCGCGUGCGGGAUGACGGCCUUCGGGUUGUAAACCGCUUUCGCCUGUGACGAAGCGUGAGUGACGGUAAUGGGUAAAGAAGCACCGGCUAACUACGUG